CGCGACUUGUUGAUUAAGCAAAGAUUAGUACUUGCAUGUUCAGAUCGAGUAAGAACAACAUCCUUAGUCAUCAGUGGACCAUCACUUAAUUAGCUGCCAACACACAUGCUAAGAAGAAUAAUUUGUAUAUUGAUCAGUGUACGUAUCUCGGAUUACCUAAGAACCCUACACCAUUAAGCAAAGCGUCGCAGUUUGUCAAUACUUAAUUCUGUACUCUUCUGAAAACCUGAUUGAGCCUGCAUGCCCCCUGCUUUGUCUCUGCACUCUUCUUUUCCUUUAAAAAAAUUUAGCUGCUGUUCGUCCUCUAAUAGUUUUUUUUUUUUAAAAAAAGAAACUUGGAUUUCAAAUUAGGAGGCAUCAAUGGUCAGGUACAGACAUGUUCACAUGGCUCCUACACAAGCUAGAGAGCUCUUAGCCUCUACUUACACCGUUGCUCAGAAUUUUUAAUUUCCAUGAUACGUAAAAUUUCCAUGCAUUACGGUACUAAUACUGAAGAUAAAAUUAACAAUUAAUGGACUAUAUUGAUCUAGGCCCUUGUUUACUUCACCCCCAACUCCCAACUUUGGCACUAUGCAAAAAGAAGAUUCC
rnacentral:lncRNA from 1 species